AUACACUUUUCUGUUCAACAAGGAGUUGCCAUUUUAAUAUGUAGUUUUCUUCUGUCAGUGUGGUAAUUGUGCUAAAUUUAGCAUUUGUUUAAAUCCUUCAUGUGUUCCAAG
rnacentral:lncRNA from 1 species